rnacentral:rRNA from 1 species
GACGUAGGGCGCGAGCGUUGUCCGGAUUUAUUGGGCGUAAAGAGCUCGUAGGCGGCUUGUCGCGUCGACCGUGAAAACUUGGGGCUCAACCCCAAGCCUGCGGUCGAUACGGGCAGGCUCGAGUUCGGUAGGGGAGACUGGAGUUCCUGGUGUAGCGGUGAAAUGCGCAGAUAUCAGGAGGAACACCGAUGGCGAAGGCAGGUCUCUGGGCCGAUACUGACGCUGAGGAGCGAAAGCGUGGGGAGCGAACAGG